rnacentral:rRNA from 1 species
GAUGAACGCUGGCGGCGUGCCUAAUACAUGCAAGUCGAGCGAACAGACGAGGAGCUUGCUUUUCUGAUGUUAGCGGCGGACGGGUGAGUAACACGUGGAUAACCUACCUAUAAGACUGGGAUAACUUCGGGAAACCGGAGCUAAUACCGGAUAAUAUUUUGAACCGCAUGGUUCAAAAGUGAAAGACGGUCUUGCUGUCACUUAUAGAUGGAUCCGCGCGGCAUUAGCUAGUUGGUAAGGUAACGGCUUACCAAGGCAACGAUGCGUAGCCGACCUGAGAGGGUGAUCGGCCACACUGGAACUGAGACACGGUCCAGACUCCUACGGGAGGCAGCAGUAGGGAAUCUUCCGCAAUGGGCGAAAGCCUGACGGAGCAACGCCGCGUGAGUGAUGAAGGUCUUCGGAUCGUAAAACUCUGUUAUUAGGGAAGAACAAAUGUGUAAGUAACUGUGCACAUCUUGACGGUACCUAAUCAGAAAGCCACGGCUAACUACGUG